rnacentral:lncRNA from 1 species
UAUUUAUUGAUCUCACCAUGGAAUCUAGUAUAACGGUGGUUAAUCAGACAGUAUGCUUCCUACACUUUCGACUUUCGAUCAUAAAUAGACACAGCUGCCAUGGAAACUCACAAUUGAAGAAUUACCAACAAGAAGGUGGAAAAGCAGAGAACAAGGCCAUUUCUCUCCUCUUCAAAAUCCUGGAGGCUGGCCUUGCCCACUUUCAAAUGGGUUUCCAAACAACAGACGGUGUUCCACUCAGUGGUAUCCUGGAAAUGUUCAACAGCUGGCUCCCUGGGAAAACAAAACAAAACAGCAAACAAGUCUUGACAUGCAGCACUUGCCAGUUCCCGUGGUGUCAUAUUCCCAUGUUGGCUAAUUUUAAGCUUCGGGUCUGACCUCAUUGAGCCGGGAAGAGAUGUGCUUAGCAAGCUUCUGCUGCAGAGCCUUUUGGAUGAAGCAGGAGAAUACAGGUGAAUUCUGAUGACGCUGUGAUAAAAUGCUCCUUCAUAAGGAAAGCUGUAAAGUGAAGCCAGCAAACGUCCAGAUGAGGGUGUCCUGUGCCAGCUCGUCCAUCCAGCUGGAUUUGCACCGGAUUAAAGUGAUUGUACCUGACUCCUUAUCUAAGGGUCUGCUUCUAACAUUUCCACAGUGAGACAAAAUUUGUUGAUUCCAGAAGUUAAUGGAAAGAUGCAGAAACUGAGACACACAGAAGCUAAGUUGCUCAGUGUCACACAAGUGGUGAGGACAAGUUUGAGUCCGAGUGGUUUGUCUCAAAAGUGCUCAGAAGGACUCCACCAUGGACUGGGGUGUACUCUGCUGUCUGGAGAGGAGUGUUCAAAACUUCAGGGGAGCGUCUGUGUGUGGAGGCCCUUGCCUGCAAUCCCAGCUACUCCAGAGGUUGAGGCAGGAGGAUUGCAAGUUCCAGGCUGCCCUAGACAACUUAGUGAGGCCCUGUCUCAAAAUAAAAUUCAAAAUAAAGGACUGGGAAUGUAGCUCAGUGGUAGAAGGCUUGCCUAGCAUGAGCAAGGCCCCUUGGUUCAAUCCCCAGUACUACAAAAAUAAAACAAAAGAAAUUUAAAGGGAGCAGAGGCAAAGGACAUGGAGAGAGUCCUUUGGUAGAUGAAAGUGAGAAGUUCAAUUAUACUAACACUUCCCAGUCAUUCAAGAUGUUUGUACUUCUAGUAAGAGAUGAGAUAGUGGUAACUAGCAAGAAGUAUGCUGGAGUUUUGAACUCUACCUGCUAAAAAUCAUAAUAUACAGAGCCUACGCAUUUGGAAUCUCAAGGAGGACUUUUUAAUCAGAGGUAGAUAGAAAUAAAAAGUGCUUACUUAGCCUGGAGCUGAAUGUAAUUUUGAGUUGAAAGCUUAAUUAUCUAAAUUUCACCUAUGUGAGCAAUCGUAUUCUGUUUAUAUAAUUCUAUUUUAAGACAUGAGUUUAAAAUAUGGCUUUGCUAUAAAUAAAUAUCUGUUUUUACAUACAAAGACCACUGGUGAGAUACAAAGAUGCUUUAAUUUUUUCUUUUCUAGGGCUUUAGAUGUUUAAGAAAAUCUACGCUAUAGUAUCCAACUGAUAAGUCAGUUUAAUGACACUACCAGUAAGAGUGUAAAGGAGAACAAAGCAGCUAAAAAGUAAUCUCUUUCCUUAUUCCUGCAUUAUCUUUAUAAGAUACACAGUCUAUCGUCUUUCUUUUGCUUAAUAAAAAAAUUUAAUCAGUAUCUCCUUUGUCUACAGAAUACACCACCAUUUGGCUUUCACACUUCUAGCCUCUUGUCCCACCUUUUCAGGCUCUGUGCACUUGGGAUUUUUCAGUCUUCUCUCCAUAGCCAUACAGGGUCAAAGCCCUUCAAUCCUUGUGUCCACUCCAUGUGGUUCUCAGUCCCUGAUUAUCUGUGUCCUUAUGCCAGGGGUAGGCAAGCUCAGCUCUCAGCCUGUCCCGAAGCCCCUACCACUAUCCAGAGAGGACUACUGAUGACCCUCUGCCAUGUUCCCAUAACAUUUUGAGGCUUUCGCCUAAGUUUUCGUUUCUGUGGUGAUGAGUUAGGUAUAAUAUCUUCUCAUUCUAAGGUUUAGUUAGGUAUAUUUACAGAAUCAAGAGGAUUUGAAUUGGAAAGUGCCCUAGAGAUCAGCUAAGACAACCUUCUCAUUUCACCAGAAAUAACUGAAAUUUUAGGAGACAUAUCCAUUUUGUUAUUUCUGGUUAGUCAUAGAACUCAAACUAGAACUUUGUCCUGACCCUGUGCUUUUUUUUUUAUAAAAUAUGCUGUAGACAAUGUCAUUUUUUCCUUUAAAUUGUCCCUGUUCUACUUCACAGAAUCCAAGGAAAUGUUAGAUUACAUGACAAAGGGCCAUUAAGUUUGUAGACAGAAUUAAGACCAAAUUUAAAAUGGGGAAAUUAUCCUGGAUUCUCUGGGUAGAACUUUUGUGGUCAGAAAAGUAUUUUUAAAUGUGGGAAAGGAAGGCAGAAGAGUGUCACAGUGAUGUGAUAGGAGAAAGAUUGGCCAUACUGGCUUUGAAGAUGGAAGGAGGCCAUGAACAAAGGAGUGUGGGUGAUGUCUAGAAACUGAAAAGGGUAAGAAAAUGAAUUUUCUCCCACAAUCUCCAAAAGAAAUAUAUUUCUGACAGCACUUUGAUUUGGGCCCAGUGACACCCAGUUAGACUUCUGACAUCCACAACUAUACUAUAAGAUGAUAAAUUUUCUGUUUUUAACCUGCUAAAUUCAUGGUAAUUUAUUUUAACAACAAUGGGGAAUGGCUAUAAGCUUCUACAUGCAAAUAGCAUUAAAUGGGUAAUUCAAGGCUUAAUACAGAGCAAUUUGAACACUGAAAUUUCUUAAAAGGCAUAUUUUAUUUUCACAAAAUUUGUAUUUAUUUUGAAUGUUUUUGGUUUUAUUUAUUCCUUCCAACAGAUUUCUAUUAAAUGUGUGCCAUUUGCUGUAUCAGACAUUAUGGUAGAUUGAAUAGCCAUCUCCUUGUUGCUGUCUCCUUGAGGAUAAAAUGCUAAUUUCUGAUGUCUUUUUCUUUUCUGGUACUGAGGAUUGAACCCAGAGCCUUCACAGGGUACUACAUCUCCAGUCCUUUAUUUUUUAUUUUGAGACAGGGUCCUACUUAGUCACCAAGUUGCUCAGGCUGGGUUUGAAGUUGCAAUCCUUCUUCCUCAACUUCCCAGAGUGCUGGGAUUAUUAGCAUGUACCACCACACCCAGAUUCUUAUGCUUUGACUUUCUAAUUUGUUUUGGACAUUUGCAUGUGGGCAGAAGAAAUGUGCCACUUUUGAGCAAAGUUUAUUAAUUCUGCUUGCUUUCUUAUGGCUUUGUGAUGUUACUGCUUUAAAAUGAGGCUCCCCAUGUUAUCUGCUACCUAAUCUGGACAACACUUGAAACACUUGAAAGAGUUCCCACAGACUUGUGAGGAAGCUACAUGCUUAUUUUGCUAUGCCAAUGGUACUACUGAGUGUGUUACAUAGUCAUAACAGUAGAUGACUGGCUUUGUCAUGUAAACAAAUGACCUACACACUUUUUAAAGAGUUUUAAUAGUAGAAACAUAUGCAGUUAAUGGAAUUAUCUCAUAGUAUAAAGGAGUGUUUUAUCAAAGAGAAGUCCAGGAGGCUUUAUAGAUAGGGUAAUAGCUGAGCUGAAUCAGAAAGGAUGGAAAUAAUUUCUCUAGUCUGUAAAAGGUGUGACUUGAGUAGAUGAGAAAGGCUCUUCAGGGUAAAUAUAAUACUGUCUUAAUCAAAACACCCAACACCCACACCUCAAAGGAGGAAAAGUUUAUUGUGACUCAUAAUUCCCGUCCAUGGUUGGUUGGCUUCAAGGCAGAAACAGGGCAACAGAGGGGCAUGGUAAAGGAAAAGGAAAAGGAAAAGGUGCUUAACCCAUGGUGUCCAGGAAGCAGAUGAAAAUGGAGGAGGUGGGGAAGGAGAUGCACCUUUACAGGUCUCACUGCCAGUGACCCACUUCUUCCUACUUGGCCCUGCCUCUGACCAGCACAUUUCAUUAUAAUCCAUUGAUGAGUAAAGUGCCUCCACAAUCCAGUCACUUUCCAAAACACAGGAAAAUUUGAAAGGGCAUUUUAGAUCUAAACCAUAACACAUAUCUUUAAGCAAAUUUAAAGGAAAUUUAGUGUCAACUGAAGGCACUAGGAAAUAUGCCUUUAUUUUACUCUGGGUUUGUCUUUUUUGAUAGUUUUCCCAUAGAACUUGCAAAGUAAUAUUUCUCAAGUAAAUAAAUAGGUAUUAUGUAUGAUUUCUGAGAUGACCACAAAAUUGUGAUGUAAUUCUUUAAGGAGCAGAGACAGCAGGAAAUAAAGAGGAACUAGUUUUCAAAGGCUUCCUAUGGUGCAGGUAGAUUCUCUGUCUCCUUCUUAGCAAAGGUAAUUCCCUGUCUCUCCACUGAUAGGACACUGCUAAUGCCACCCCUCUUUUUCUGACAUUAUUUUCAGUGCAGAAUUGCUUUUUCCAGCUGAAUUACUCCUGGAUCACUUUGGAUUUUCAAGUGGUUUUAAGUACACAUGCAAGUCAAUACCAAGAACAACUAAGAAAUUGAUAGGAAGGUCAUGUCUUUUAAAUUUGUAAACUAUGCCAUGAGUGGGGCUAGGAGACCAUGGCACUUGUUUCAUUCUUUGGUGUAUUGGUCUUUCUUAGGUUCUGGGACAUCCUACUGUACCCUAACCCUAGAUAGUCUUUUUCCAAACAGACACCUUUAGUCACAAGGGAAAGGUAAGACAAUGGUAAGUCUUUCCUUUCAGGAAGAAUAGCAUAAUUUUCCAACUCACUGUGGAUCAGCAGUAUCUUUCUGUCUGAUAAGAGAGAUACAUGUCAUGAUUUUAACAGAGUUUGAAUUUGUUCCACAGAGUAGACUUGAAACUAUGUAAAAUCUUAUGCACAUUGCCAUGUGUGCCUCACCUCCUUCUAUCAUAUCUAAAAAUUUCAAUUUUAAUUCCCAUGUAAUUUACUUUUGUUAUUUAAAAAUUUUCAUAUUCACAUAGCCAAAUUCUAUGCAACUUGCAGAAAAAAUGCGUACUAUUUCUGUCAAAAAUUGCAUGCAAUUCUAAAAUAAGCAGAGUUGAAGAUGUUAAUGAAAAGAGAUCUGCAAGUGUAACUAAUAUGAUCUCAUUGUUAAACAAUUCACCAAAUAAAUGCCGUGGUUGGAUUUAGAUACCAGAUGUCAAACCACAUAGUAAUGAAGAUACAGUUGCUUGCUUCCCUGUCACUGGUCGCCAGAAAGAAACAGAUGGUUAAAAAGAUAUGUAGCUGAGGCAAGGCAUGGAAAUAGGAAACCACAGAGUAGAAAUUCUGCCUUUUAAGUAACAGUAAUUUUCUAGUCUGGAAAACAUGGUGUUUUAUACCUCCUCUUAUGCACUUAAGCAGUUUAAAUGUGAAACAUAGCAAAAAUAGUCCAAGCAAGGCUGGCAACUUGCAAAUUUUGCAGUGCAUAGUUGCAUCUCAAAAAUCUUGGAGGCAGACGUACAACAGUAAAAGGCAAACACUUGUAAGCAGUUGAAUACAAUUAUGUGGUGGUUAUUACCUAAGCUCAUUACAGCUUCAGAAGGGGUUCUGUGAACUUGUGCUCUAACUAGUAGGUCAGGCAAAAUGCAAAUAAGGACUAAAUUUGAAAGCAAGUAACAUAAAAACCAGAUACAAUUUAGACUGGGAGUCUAUAAUUUGGGUUUAAAAAAUAAGCCUCAGCAAGAAUCAUCCUCAUUACAAUAAUGGCUUGUUUAUUCUGCACAACUUGUUUACAAUUACAGACCCUCUUUAAAAGCUGAUUUUAACAGGAAAUAGGAGCAUGCAAAGAGACAGAGCAGGGAUGGGGGGAAGAGACAGAGAGAGAGAGAGAGAGAGAGAGAGGAGAGAGGAGAGAAGAGAGGGCAAGGGCUUCAUGGUUGGUCAGUUGUUAUAAUUAGAGUAGAUGCAUAUAUGUAUUGCAAAACCAUUUAUGCCUUUACUCCAAAUCUUUUAAUUUCAGAUUUCUGUCACUGAAAUAUAAAGUCUCAAAUAGUCUAUUAUUCCAAAGAUAUCAUUAUAAUUGAAUUUCUAAUGAGAGUGUCUAUGGAGCUUUGUUCCUAGUAUUUCCAUUAUGACAUUGGAAUCCUCUUUAUCUAUUAUGGUCAGGUGACCAUGAAAUGAUGAGCUACAGCUGUUACAGGGCAUGUGUCUGCUGGGGCUUAAUUUAUAGUAAAUACACAUUUUAUUGCUAAUAUGUUUUUUUUUCUCAUUCAUUUCUUCAAAUAGUCAUUCAAAUAUUCAGGGGAACCUGGAAGGAGGCAGAGAUAAUGCUCAGGAUAACCAGAUGCCUGGGAUUGAAUCUUGAUCUUGUUACUAACUGCGUAAUCUUGGGCCUCUGUGUCUCAGCCUUCUUUUCUUUAUAAUGAAGGUGGUAACUCUCUUGUAGAUUGUUGUGAAGUUUAAAUAAAUUAAUACAUCUUAAGAGCUCAGAAAAGUCCCUGCCACAUAAUAAUAUGCUACCUAUUGUUAUUAUUCUUUGCUGGACCUUGGGAACAUAGUGGUGAUCGGGAUGUGCUCGAUCUCUUCCUUUACAGAACUAACGUUCUUGGGGAGAGAGGAGAUGGCAUUAGGCAGCUAGUCAUCCACUUAAUUACUUUUGUGGUAAGUGCAGCAGGAAAGUAUCAAAGUGAAGCUGUUGUAUAAAAUGGGGACUUGACCUGUUUGGGGUAGAUUUCCAGCUUCUAGAAGUGACAUUUGCUCUCUAAAGGAUGACUAAGAAUUAUUUAGGAAGUUAGAAAUCAGGAGAACAUGUAGGGAGAUUGCUUUGCUUACAGAAGCAAAAUGGGAGAUGAAAGGUAUAAUGCGGCAAACUGCUUAGAACUCACACUUCCAUACUCUGUGGCUGGAAACAAUUCAGUUACAAUGGUUUGAUCAUAGACUGAGUUUUCUUGUCAUUGAUUCCUUUUGUUCUUCCACUUAGACUCCUUGAUCCUUUGUGGAUCCUUUAUCCAUGAAACACACUGUAAAAUCCUGGGGUUUUCAUUGGUUAGAUGCCUCUGUUUUCUUACAAGCUCAUGACAAAGUCAUUUCUCACUAUAUUUUGUUGUUUUCAGCAAGUCAACUAAAGUUAGAAUCCAAAAAUACAUGUAAAUAGAAGUGCAUGUAAAUAGAGGUGUAUGUAUGUUGUAUAUAAUUUUACAUUAAAUUUAUAACUAUUUUUACAAAUUGACCAUACCAUUUGUAGAAUUUUGCAUUCUGCUUCUUUAUUGAGAUUUUAUGUGAACUUUUUCUUGUAUCAUAGUAUUCUUUGAAAAUAAAGAUUUAAACUAUAAUGCAUGGCUGUUCAGUUGUGUGAUUGAUCCCAUUUUGUGAACAUGGCUGAACAUUUUAGAUUGCAUCCAAAUGUUUAUCAUCAUAAAUAAUGCCGUAAAAAUGUUUACUGGAGUGCUUUUAGAUAAGUCUCCUUAGAGUGGCGCAUUGUCAGAAAUAAUAUUGGUAUAUCAAGGACCGUUUAUUUCUUUUUAAGUUUCUUUGUAUAUAUA